rnacentral:ncRNA from 1 species
CUCUAUUGUACCUGCAUGGUUGCUCAUUCUAUAUAAUUAAUAUCAGCUUUAGGGCCUGUGUUUAGAUGGUUUAAAAUGGAGAUGGAGAUGCAUUCAAAAGUUACCACAGGGAUAAUUGGCUUUAUGGUGACCAAACAUCAUCUUUUUCUGAUCUUUUAGUGUUUUCUCUUCCUAACAGUAAGAAGUGAAAUUCACCAAGCAUUGCUCACCCAGUAAUAGGGAAUGUGAGCUAGGUGGAGACGGUUGUGACAUAGGUUUGCU